rnacentral:rRNA from 1 species
GACGAACGCUGGCGGCGUGCUUAACACAUGCAAGUCGAACGGAAAGGCCCUGCUUUUGUGGGGUGCUCGAGUGGCGAACGGGUGAGUAACACGUGAGUAACCUGCCCUUGACUUUGGGAUAACUUCAGGAAACUGGGGCUAAUACCGGAUAGGAGCUCCUGCUGCAUGGUGGGGGUUGGAAAGUUUCGGCGGUUGGGGAUGGACUCGCGGCUUAUGCGCUUGUUGGUGGGGUAGUGGCUUACCAAGGCUUUGACGGAUAGCCGGCCUGAGAGGGUGACCGGCCACAAUGGGACUGAGAUACGGACCAGACUCCUACGGGAGGCAGCGGUGGGGAGUAUUGCACAAUGGGCGGGAGCCUGAUGCAGCGACGCCGCGUGCGGGAUGACGGCUUUCGGGUUGAGAACCGCUUUCGCCUGUGACGAAGCGUGAGUGACGGUAAUGGGUAAAGAAGCACCGGCUAACUACGUG